rnacentral:misc_RNA from 1 species
CGAUACAAACUUAAAACAGACCAUAAAAUUCUUCUUUAUUUCAUACAGUUGCACGUCUGCAGCAUGAAAUAAGGCUCUGGUAAAUCCUAUUAUGCCUGUGCUGGCGCCGCCUCAGUAGUUUUGUCUUCCUUCUUCCCACUAAAAAGCCUGCCGACACCAUAAAAAAUACCUCCCCACAUAGCUAAGCUGGCUAGCACAAAUUG